UCGAGCGAACAGAUGAGAAGCUUGCUUCUCUGAUGUUAGCGGCGGACGGGUGAGUAACACGUGGGUAACCUACCUAUAAGACUGGGAUAACUCCGGGAAACCGGGGCUAAUACCGGAUAAUAUUUUGAACCGCAUGGUUCAAUAGUGAAAGACGGUUUCGGCUGUCACUUAUAGAUGGACCCGCGCCGUAUUAGCUAGUUGGUAAGGUAACGGCUUACCAAGGCGACGAUACGUAGCCGACCUGAGAGGGUGAUCGGCCACACUGGAACUGAGACACGGUCCAGACUCCUACGGGAGGCAGCAGUAGGGAAUCUUCCGCAAUGGGCGAAAGCCUGACGGAGCAACGCCGCGUGAGUGAUGAAGGUCUUCGGAUCGUAAAACUCUGUUGUUAGGGAAGAACAAAUUUGUUAGUAACUGAACAAGUCUUGACGGUACCUAACCAGAAAGCCACGGCUAACUACGUGCCAGCAGCCGCGGUAAUACGUAGGUGGCAAGCGUUAUCCGGAAUUAUUGGGCGUAAAGCGCGCGUAGGCGGUUUCUUAAGUCUGAUGUGAAAGCCCACGGCUCAACCGUGGAGGGUCAUUGGAAACUGGGAAACUUGAGUGCAGAAGAGGAGAGUGGAAUUCCAUGUGUAGCGGUGAAAUGCGCAGAGAUAUGGAGGAACACCAGUGGCGAAGGCGGCUCUCUGGUCUGUAACUGACGCUGAUGUGCGAAAGCGUGGGGAUCAAACAGGAUUAGAUACCCUGGUAGUCCACGCCGUAAACGAUGAGUGCUAAGUGUUAGGGGGUUUCCGCCCCUUAGUGCUGCAGCUAACGCAUUAAGCACUCCGCCUGGGGAGUACGACCGCAAGGUUGAAACUCAAAGGAAUUGACGGGGACCCGCACAAGCGGUGGAGCAUGUGGUUUAAUUCGAAGCAACGCGAAGAACCUUACCAAAUCUUGACAUCCUUUGACCGCUCUAGAGAUAGAGUCUUCCCCUUCGGGGGACAAAGUGACAGGUGGUGCAUGGUUGUCGUCAGCUCGUGUCGUGAGAUGUUGGGUUAAGUCCCGCAACGAGCGCAACCCUUAAGCUUAGUUGCCAUCAUUAAGUUGGGCACUCUAGGUUGACUGCCGGUGACAAACCGGAGGAAGGUGGGGAUGACGUCAAAUCAUCAUGCCCCUUAUGAUUUGGGCUACACACGUGCUACAAUGGAUAAUACAAAGGGCAGCGAAUCCGCGAGGCCAAGCAAAUCCCAUAAAAUUAUUCUCAGUUCGGAUUGUAGUCUGCAACUCGACUACAUGAAGCUGGAAUCGCUAGUAAUCGUAGAUCAGCAUGCUACGGUGAAUACGUUCCCGGGUCUUGUACACACCGCCCGUCACACCACGAGAGUUUGUAACACCCGAAGCCGGUGGAGUAAC
rnacentral:rRNA from 1 species